rnacentral:rRNA from 1 species
AUGGCACUGAUCCUUGGCUUUCUCAAAGGCCGGAAACGCCACCUUAGGAUGCAGCAGAGUUCUUAUGACCAAACCACAAUCAGGGGGGCAGCAUGGCAAGUUUCGUCACAGGGCGCUAACGCUGACAAAUGUACGGGCAACCAACUUCAGCUAGCUAAUGCGGCAAAUCAAGGACCUUCAUGUAGCACGUGGCAUCAGGCAGCAACCAUGUACCUGCCAUCAACGUCGUACACAGGUUGUUACGGUGGAACCACAUCGGCAAACAUCUCAUGGCAAGCUUCACAGUUGCAGGAAAGCGCUAUUGCAGAUAGAGCACAUCAAAUUGGAAUGACAGACCACACAAGAUCGGCACAUGCGGCACAACAAGUAGUCGCCAUGUAUGUUGGACUGUAUCUGCCAUUGCUAUGUGCUGCAAGUUCUGAUGCUGAAAGAAGCUGGUUGCCAUUUGCUGUACUCCGUUACGAUACACAUGACGUUCAAGCAAAAUCUUACGCUCGUACCUGGUUUUUUAAUGCAGGACCUUCAACUACAAUUAACAGCGGCGCGGGGACAUCUACUGCGGGGAGCUCUGAGUGCACGGAAGACGUGUUCCACCAGCCAGCCAACACUCAUGCCACAAACAAUGUCGAGUUAGUGUCGGAAAUGGCAAUCGUGCCAGCAAUACUGACAAGCACACCUGUGCACACCAGCACAAGCAACACUCAAGCAGGUGAAACAGCCGCUGAUACUGAAGUGAAUGAUGAAACCGAUGACGAAGCACAAUGGGAUGAAGAUGGUGGGCAAUCAGAAAUCAUGGUACCCCAGCCACCGUAUCUUGGGCAGAGAUUUGAUUCAUUUGAAGAUGCAAAGGAAUUCUACCAGCCAUAUGCAAAGUUCCAUGGGUUGCGAGGUGAGAUGAGGUGCUGCAAGGCACGAAGAAACAAGAAGGGCAAAGGUGAUGCGCCUGUCGUUCCGGAACGAAAGAGAGGUAUCAUUGUCAAGAUGGAAUGCCCUGUCCGGUGUAAGCUGAACGUAGAUGGAGCAUCGUGGGUGGUCACUAAAUAUUUUGACGAGCACAACCACGAGCUAAUAAAGAAGUUUGACCUGGUAAAAUUUCUGACCGCCCACAGAGGAUUCACCCCCCUCGAGAAGAAAUUCAUAAAGCUGCUACAUGAUUGUAACGUCGGUCCAUCAAGAAUGGUGCAGAUACUCUCCCUCAUCCACAGCAAAAGGGGGUCUCUGAGUAGCAUGCCCUACCUACCAGCAGAUGUCACAAACCUAAAGGCAAAAUUCCAGGAAGAAAUAAAGCGUGCCAGCAUGUACACGGCUUUCCAGGUGGACGAACAUACGUUCAAGGCAUCGAUAAGCGAAGGCGAGUACUACUGCCAAUGCUGCAAAUUCGAACGGGACGGGAUUGUGUGCUGUCACAUUCUAAAAGUAAUGGACUUGAACGCGGUGACACGAGUGCCCCGCCAUUUCAUAAGGCGGCGAUGGACUUGGGACGCUGACGACGCAUUGGCGCCGCAAACAUCAAACGCAGUUUUGGCCGUGCCUGACGAGAGACCAGAGUCAACCAUGGAAGCCGUGAGGCACGUUGUGUUGACAAAGAACUAUGUUGAACUAAUUGAUGAAGCGUGCAAGAGUGAUGAGACAGCAAGGGUCACAGAAAAACACAGGAAGGCCCUCAAAAGAGAGCUUGAUGAGAUCAAGAAGAGGAAAGCUGAGGAAGCCUUACACAGGUUCCCCCGGACAUCAAGUGUGCCUUCGUCCACAGGGCCAUCAUCUGAAAACUCGGAGGUAGGAUCUGGAACAGCAAGCACACAAACACAGGUUAGGAACCCGCCCCGUUCCAUCACAAAAGGGCGUCCAAAAGAGAUAAGAUACAAAUCGGGAUUGGAGAUUCAAGCAAAACACAAGAAACCAAAGAAAGGGACGGGCAAUCCGUAA